UCUGUAGGUGGCCUGCUAAGUCAGACGUGAAAUCCCUCAGCUUAACUGGGGAACUGCGUCUGAGACUGGUGGGCCUGAGGACAGGAGAGGAACGCGGAAUUCCAGGUGUAGCGGUGAAAUGCGUAGAUAUCUGGAGGAACACCGGUGGCGAAGGCGGCGUUCUGGACUGUUUCUGACACUGAGAGACGAAAGCCAGGGAGGCAAACG
rnacentral:rRNA from 1 species